rnacentral:rRNA from 1 species
UACGUAGGUGGCAAGCGUUGUCCGGAAUUAUUGGGCGUAAAGCGCGCGCAGGCGGUUUGUUAAGCCAGAUGUGAAAGCCCCGGGCUCAACCUGGGAACUGCGUUUGGUACUGGCAAGCUAGAGUACGGCAGAGGGGGGUGGAAUUCCACGUGUAGCAGUGAAAUGCGUAGAGAUGUGGAGGAACACCGAUGGCGAAGGCAGCCCCCUGGGCCGAUACUGACGCUCAGGCACGAAAGCGUGGGGAGCAAACAGG